AUUGAACGCUGGCGGCAGGCCUAACACAUGCAAGUCGAACGAGUGGCGGACGGGUGAGUAAUGUCUGGGAAACUGCCCGAUGGAGGGGGAUAACUACUGGAAACGGUAGCUAAUACCGCAUACCAUCAGAUGUGCCCAGAUGGGAUUAGCUAGUGGGUGGGGUAAAGGCUCACCAAGGCGACGAUCCCUAGCUGGUCUGAGAGGAUGACCAGCCAAAUUGGAACUGAGACACGGUCCAGACUCCUACGGGAGGCAGCAGUGGGGAAUAUUGCACAAUGGGCGCAAGCCGGAUGCAGCCACGCGGCGUGUAUGAAGAAGGCCUUAGGGGUGUAAAGUACUUUCAGCGGGGAGGCGUUACCCGCAGAAGAAGCACCGGCUAACUCAGUGCCAGCCGCCGCGGUAAUAC
rnacentral:rRNA from 1 species